rnacentral:tRNA from 1 species
GGGCCUGUAGCUCCAACUGGCAGAGCAGCGGACUUUUAAUCCGAAGCGUGUGGGUUCGAGUCCCACCGGGCCCA